AAAUCUUAUAGAUAAGACCCAUCUGGCAAAGACUGAUGUGCACUCUUACCUCCUGCCUGUGAUGGACACCUCACAACUAGUUAACACAAACACGGCCCUGCUGAGCCUGGACCCAUGGUUGUAAAGGGUGCCUUAUGAGAUUUGGGCUUAAAGGUAUAUGGUUUCUUUGAUCUUGUAAAAUCUGCAUCAGGCCAUGGAAGGAAACAUUUGACUUCAGGACUUCUGUUGUCCAGGUAUCAAGCAACACUCAUAUCCAGGCUGAAUAAAUCCUUCGACGGCAUUCUUUGCGCGUGGCUGUUUGAUGUGCUUCCAGCAGCUUCAAACACAGGAGGCAUCCAAACUGUAAAGAGCCAAAACUCCACCGUGGCAGGAGCCUUGAACAGCAGCGGGGCAGGCUGGCAGUGCCUUGCAGGACCAAAGAUGCUCACCCAGCAGGCAAGGAGACAGCUGAAUCCCUCUGCUCUCCCGUGACGUGGCAGUGCUGGGAGUGCCUUUCUUAGCGUGGACUUUAUUAAGCUGCUCCAAACCAACAAGCCAAGCUCCCCACCAGCAUUCGACCACUGCGCCAAGAGGAAAAUAAUGAGGUUAAAAGCACUGCACAGCAGAAACAUAUGGGACUACAAAGAGGUUGGGAUUGCCAGAGAGUCCAGCACGGUCAUAUCAGGGUGCUAGGGAUGGUGCUACUGCAGUGUUUGUUGAGGCUGGUGGAGGCGAUAUGUGGCUGGUGGCCGUGAGCACCUUCCUUGGACAGAAAGCGAUACAUCUGAUCAGCUUUGGCCACUUCUGAGUGCCACAGGAGCCUGGGGAGCCCAGCUUUCUCCUUUGCUUUGUCCUCUGACUUCAGAGCGUGGCUUUCCUUUUUAGUUCCCUUCUGUGUUUAUAACGGGCCAAACUUCCCACAUACUGGGUGAGGAUGCUUCUGACUGGAGCGAUUUAGGAGUUUGAAUAAAGCAGCUCUUGUUAAAAAUGCUGAUUUGUCA
rnacentral:lncRNA from 1 species